rnacentral:tRNA from 1 species
UGUUGAGGUGGCAGAGCCCGGUAAUUGCAAAAGGCCUAAGCCCUUUUUACAGAGGUUCAACUCCUCUCCUAGACU